rnacentral:rRNA from 1 species
UGCCGCGUGUGUGAAGAAGGUCUUCGGAUUGUAAAGCACUUUAAGUUGGGAGGAGGGCAGUAAGCUAAUACCUUGCUGUUUUGACGUUACCGACAGAAUAAGCACCGGCUAACUCUGUGCCAGCAGCCGCGGUAAUA